rnacentral:misc_RNA from 1 species
AGCCCUUGACAUCCCGGUCGCGGAUUCCGUCUCUGGAAUCCGCGACCGGGAUGUCAAGGGCUGGUAAGGUUCUUCGCGUUGCGUCGAAUUAAACCACAUGCUCCACCGCUUGUGCGGGCCCCCGUCAAUUCCUUUGAGUUUUAAUCUUGCGACCGUACUCCCCAGGCGGAAUGCUUAAAGCGUUAGCUGCGCCACUAGUGAGUAAACCCACUAACGGCUGGCAUUCAUCGUUUACGGCGUGGACUAC